UUUUAAAUUCCAUACUUGCCCUCACUUAGACCACAGUUCAUUGCUGAGAGCGUUGUUCUGAGCCAGU